UACGGAGGGUGCAAGCGUUAAUCGGAAUUACUGGGCGUAAAGGGUGCGUAGGUGGUUUGGUAAGUUAUCUGUGAAAUCCCCGGGCUCAACCUGGGCAGGUCAGAUAAUACUGCUAGACUCGAGUAUGGGAGAGGGUAGUGGAAUUUCCGGUGUAGCGGUGAAAUGCGUAGAGAUCGGAAGGAACACCAGUGGCGAAGGCGGCUACCUGGCCCAAUACUGACACUGAGGCACGAAAGCGUGGGGAGCAAACAGG
rnacentral:rRNA from 2 species